AUUGAACGCUGGCGGCAGGCCUAACACAUGCAAGUCGAACGGUAACAGGAAGAAGCUUGCUUCUUUGCUGACGAGUGGCGGACGGGUGAGUCAUGUCUGUGAAACUGCUUGAUGGAGGGGGAUAACUACUGGAAACGGUAGCUAAUACCGCAUAACGUCGCAAGACCAAAGAGGGGGACCUUCGGGCCUCUUGCCAUCGGCUGUGCCCAGAUGGGAUUAGCUAGUAGGUGGGGUAACGGCUCACCUAGGCGACGAUCCCUAGCUGGUCUGAGAGGGUGACCGGCCACACUGGAACUGAGACACGGUCCAGACUCCUACGGGAGGCAGCAGUGGGGAAUAUUGCGCAAUGGGCGCAAGCCUGAUGCAGCCAUGCCGCGUGUAUGAAGAAGGCCUUCGGGUUGUAAAGUUCUUUUAGCGGGGAAGAAGAGAGUUGAGUGAAUACCUGCGCUCAUUGACGUUACCCACAGAAGAAGCACCGGCUAACUCCGUG
rnacentral:rRNA from 1 species